AAAGGGAGACCUAAUUCAGGUAGGAGACGAAAAAAAAGUAGUCGCUACCAAGAAUCAAUCCCAAAAGGUCGGAACGAGGUAUGUGGCUUUCAAACUAGGUUCUGGGUUCAUAAAAGACCUGAAUCAGGAACAAGGGCUAUUAGCUCAGGUGGUUAGAGCGCACCCCUGAUAAGGGUGAGGUCCCUGGUUCGAGUCCAGGAUGGCCCACCUGCACAGGUGGAAAAAACAAAAGAAGCUCCGAAUCAGCACCUUAUCUUACUUAUAUAGUAAGAGAGAAUGCUGGCUCUGAGUAAAGAGUCCAGAGGAACCUUGAAAACUGCAUAGAGCUAGGUGAAAAAGCCAAAAAAGAAGACCGCAAG
rnacentral:tRNA from 1 species